rfam:Ruminococcus sp. CAG:254 genomic scaffold, scf482
ACAACCGAAUAUCGUAUUCUAAAGACAGCUGGUGGUGUUUCACCGUAAGUCCAGCCGAGGAAUUGCUUUAUCAAUGAAAGAUACUGCCGCAUUCCUUGUCGAAUGACGGCUUUUUUUGGAUUGUG